GAUGAAUAACGCAGCGAAAUGCGAUACUUGGUGUGAAUUGCAGAAUCCCGUGAACCAUCGAGUCUUUGAACGCAAGUUGCGCCCGAAGCCAUUAGGCCGAGGGCACGCCUGCCUGGGCGUCACACGUCGUUGCCCCCCCAUCUACUCCUUCGGGAUUGCGGGGGGCGGAUGAUGGCCUCCCGUGCGCCUCGUCGCGCGGUUGGCAUAAAUACCAAGUCCUCGGCGACGCACGCCACGACAAUCGGUGGUUGCGAAACCUCGGUUGCCCGUCGUGUGCGGUCGUCGCGCAUCGAGGGCUCGAAAAAAUUGCCGGGCUCCGGCUCGGCUUUCAACGCGACCCCAGGUCAGGCGGGGUUACCCGCUGAAUUUAAGCAUAUCAAUAAGCGGAGGA
rnacentral:misc_RNA from 1 species